rnacentral:rRNA from 1 species
GGCCGCGGUAUCCUAACCGUGCAAAGGUAGCACAAUCACUUGUUCUUUAAAUAAGGACUAGUAUGAAUGGCAACAUGAGGGCCCAUUUGUCUCUCGUGGCUCACCUAUAAAACUGAUCUUCCAGUACAAAAGCUGGAAUAAACUCAUAAGACGAGAAGACCCUGUGGAGCUUUAGACACAACGCCAAAUAUUCUGGCACCAUGUCUUUAGUUGGGGCAACUUUGGAGCCAAACAAAACCUCCAAAACUCUUCUAAGGCCAACUAGCCUAAAACCAACUACCUAAACGACCC